rnacentral:rRNA from 1 species
UACAGAGGGUGCGAGCGUUAAUCGGAAUUACUGGGCGUAAAGCGCACGUAGGCGGCUUGGUAUGUCGGGUGUGAAAUCCCCGGGCUCAACCUGGGAACUGCAUCCGAAACUGCCUUGCUCGAGUAUGGGAGAGGGAAGUGGAAUUUCCGGUGUAGCGGUGAAAUGCGUAGAUAUCGGAAGGAACAUCAGUGGCGAAAGCGGCUCUCUGGGGACCAUCUGACGCUGAGGCGCGAAAGCGUGGGGAGCGAACCGG